CUUCUCUUGUAGAGUCUUUCCUGUGAGCCUUGAUCUUCAGAGAUGGACUGACACAAAUGACAGGACAAAGAAGCAUGCGUGGAAAUAAAAUGAAAAUUCAGAACAGAUGUCAGGACAUGUUUUUCAUGCUGAAUGUGCAGAGCGGUCAACCAGUGCAACUCUCCACAAUACAGAGUGAGACUUUCGUGUCUGUGUGUGUUCCUGGCAUGUCCAACACGGCUACUGAUUUCAAGAGGAGCUCAAGGAAUGUGCAGGGAAGCUGACAGGCACUUUGGACAACUUAUCACAACACUAUGUGGCAUAAAUGUGAUGCAGCGUUUCAUAAAUUUGAUGAAGUACUUCCAAAACAACUGUUGACUUUUAAAAGCAUCCAACUUCCCUGAAAGUGGGAUAUUUACUGUAAGUGCAGAUUGUUGAGAUUCUCAGCUAAUUUGUUACCUGUGCUUCUUUAAUGUGUUUGUGAAUUCAUAAGAAUUUUGUAAUUGUAAGCCUUUAUGAGAUUAUUGUGUUUUAAACCAGACUUGACAGCACAAUAGAACCCAAUAAAAGAAAGCAUCAUUGCAUAAGGUCUGCUCAUACACCAAGAUGUGAAUGCCAACAAGAUGAAAGAUAAUUGACAAAGAAAGUGAAAUAUAAAAACUGCAUGUUUAUUUCUAUACUGCAUCCUCUUUGCAUCACUGUCUCAGGAAUCAAACAAAAAUACCAUUGUUGUUACAAUAAGAGCAGCUCUAAUAAAAAUGGAAGCAUUUAAGAGUUAAAGCAGCUUUCCAUCUUUAAAAGAUUAUUUAAUAUAACAUAUUUAAAUCUUCCUAUGUACUCAAGACAGUUUCCCCACUGUAAGCUGUUGGUAUUUGUUACAAUUAGAAAGAUUGGCAUGGAUGGGAUGGUGCUACCAGUGGAAAGAUUGGCGCAGACAAAAGAUGGUAUUACAAAAGGAAAGGUGCUCACCUAUCUCUGAAGAUCAAGACUCCCAGGCAGGACUCCACAAGGGAGAGAUAUCUAACCAGAGAUACUUCCCUAAUGGCAGUCAGCCCUUAAAUGAGGUCUAGGAGAGGUGCAGCCAGGCUCCACGCCUUCACCUGUACUCCCAGGCUGAGCCAGUCCUUUCCCCAGGUGCUCAAUCAGUGCUUCAGGCCAUGACUCAACAGUUCUCAUACAGUAUUACGUGCAGAUAUUCCUAUGCUAUUGUUUUGUUGAAAUUAAUUUCACUUUCAGCAUAAUGAGCAUUGGCAAAUUCAGAGUUUGCUACUGAAUAGACUGAAAAAAAGUCAGCAUUACACUGAUGGAUCAAGGAAUCUUUCAAAAUUUAGACACAGUAAAGAUGAUGGCCUCAACAGAAACUUCUCACUGUAUUUGUUGGUCAUUAUCCUCAUGUACAAAAAGAUGCACAGAUAGCUCUGUUAGAGGAAACAUUUUAAUGUGAGAACAAACUAUAGCAAAUUGAAACUGAGCAUGAUCAUAGAAAUGUGCUCACCACUGUAGGUGGCCACAAAAGAAAAGAAACAUCCUUCUGUUUCUGUUCACCCAAAAGCUACUGUCUGUCUGUGCUUUCCAGAUAUGGCCAAAUUUAAGACAUAACCCCUGUUAAAACCAGUGGUAAGUGGAAAGGGUAGUUUCACUGUACUACAUUUACGUAUCUUCAGCUAUCAUCACAGGAAGAACUUAAGAAUGGCAAUAUGUACUUCCUGAAGGAGUCUUGAAGGCUGCUUUACAAAUCUUUUCUAACUGUGCUUGUUUAAGAAGUUAUUCCCCUCUCCAACUCCAGGCUUCUUUGCCACAUUCUAUUUGAGCUACCGUGUGUAAUUGAACCUGGACAGAUUAAACUUAUCUGUGUUUAUAAAUUUUUUUCUUCAUUCCAUGAUUAAAUAUCAGAAUAAAUAGGGAAAAAGAUGAAUGCCUUGAGGCAUGGAUAAUGACGCCAAGACUUUACUAUCAACAACAGCCAAGUGUUCUGCAAACUGUUUGCUCUGAAAAUCCAGGCAGUUCCUCCAACAGCACUGACAUAUUAGUCCGGUUAGGAAUUUUUCAGUAAGUUGUGAAAUAAAGUGAUGGUAAAAGCCCAUCUAUCACUAAAAGAAUGAUAACAUCUGGAGUGAAAUGUGAGUCACAGAAGAGACAAAAAGGAGUAAUGAAUAUGCUCAUACACAAAAGCCAUGUAAUAAGGAAUAAACCAAAGUCUUACAGCAUAAUGAAAUUGACGCUUAACUGGCAAGUCAGAGGCUUUGGUGAAUACAUCAAAAGGUGACAAUACUGAUCUAGAAUAGUACAGUUACAAAGAGGAGAAGCAAGGAAAAAUAAAAGGCAUUUCAAUAUUUGCCAAAAAUUGCACUUUUCCUGUAGUUUUGGAGUUUAAACGGAACAGACAUAUAUCUCCGUAUAAAGAUAAAACAGGAAAAGAGCAGGCAACAUUUCAUGAUGAACUUGGACGAACUGAAGAAGAUGAUUAAUACCACUUAUUUGAACAGAGAUAGCCAUGAUAAAAGACGUGACAAGAAGGGAUGGAAAUCUGUUUUAAUUGUCCAAAUAUCUGUGGCAAAAUAGGAGGGCACAAGCAAAUUAUUUUGAUAUGUACUAUAUACAGGUUUCAGAAGAUGGAGAAAGGUUGUAGAGAAACAACAAUUUAUACAAGAAUCAAAUCAUAUAUUUAUAUAAGAAACAAAUUAUACAAGAAUACAAGAAUUACCUCAGAAACCACUGAGGUAAAAAAUCUUAAGGUGGAUGUGAUCAUGUGAAAGAGUUCAAGAAAAAAGGUAAUGAGAAUAAAAGAUCUGCUUUGUGAGAACAAACAGAAACAACAAAAACAAAAAAAGUAGACCAGUUCAGGAAUCUGCUAAUAGACUCUUGUGAAGAAACUUUAUGGAAAUAUUUUAGAGAAAAUGCACUUGUGACAUUAAAUAUUAAAGACACAGCAGUCACCUGGCGCAAUGGAGAAGAAAAAAGAAAUGUAACAAAGCAAUAUGGAAGACAAAGGAACUCUUUAGCUGAGCUGCAAAAUGACUUAUUGGUAUCAAAACAAGACAAUUUUCUGCCCAUUCUGAUUCAAUCUGUGGCAUACAAAUUAGUUGCAAAACAGAUUUUUCAUUUUAGUAAAGGCAAAUAUGUAGUGUCUAUAGUAGGAAAAGUAUAAGUUGAAGUAUUUAGAUGAACUGGGCGCACUUCAGGCGGCAAAGUUUGCUAGAAAAUUCACCUUAAAGUACUGAUAGAGCAAGUCAAGGUAAUCUCUGUACUAGAAGUGAUCAUUUUCAAGAAUAUAGGAAGACCUGGGGAAGUCCCACAGGACUGGAGAAAGAAAACACAGUAACUGUCCUUAAAAGAGGAAGAAAAGGGCCUUCAAGUAGACUGGGUUUUAGAAGGGCACCUUACUCAAAAUUAUAGGAAAGUGUAAUAUGUCCCAAACUACACAGAAACCAUUAUUCAGUUGUGCCUAGAAAUUGCUGGAUACAUAGCAGUUUUCUCUCAGCACAUUCACAGAUGUAAUUGCCUGGAUUGGUGCAUUACUUAUUGCAAAAAUUGUGACCAGGAGAACAUAAGAAGCUUGAGAAUAUUUCCUGUUGAAGACAAGACUAAGGACUCAGCUGGAUGAGCACAUCUAGGAGUCUGGGAUCACAGGAGGAGAGAAUGCAUGUGCCUCUAUCAGGAAAUCUGAGUCAAACUGGCACAACGUAAUUAACUUUGUGCCUCAGAUUGUUUUUAUUUUUACAUAUUUAUUUUUCCCUGCCACAAGAUACAGAUGAGUAUAUUUAGUUAGAAAAACAUGUUUAAUUGUACUUUGCAUAAAUUCUCAUUUAGAAAGAAAAUGUUUUUCAAAUAAAGUUCUUUAAAUGUUUUGUGAGACAUCUGGACUUUUUUUUAUGUAUAUAAAGGAUCUGAAAGGAAUUUAGAAUCCCAGACUCCUUGUGGUUCUCACAUCAUCAUAAAAAGGCAGCAUAUUAGAAUGUGUUUGCUGCUGGGAACUGACACUUCACAAUUAUUAAGGAAGUAAAACGUCUUCUACUAAGUACAGGUUUGAUCCUGUAGUGCCCAGGAUUGGUGCCUGGGGUCCUUUCUCAAGAUGCCUGUGAAUGUUAUGCAAGGUGGGGAGGUAUUUUAAGGGCUUGUUUCCUCCUCUAAUUCCCCAGUAUAGGGAUUGAUC
rnacentral:lncRNA from 1 species